UACGGGGGGGGCAAGCGUUGUUCGGAAUUACUGGGCGUAAAGGGCCAGUAGGCGGCCAACUAAGUCCGACGUGAAAUCCCCAGGCUUAACCUGGGAACUGCGUCGGAUACUGGAUGGCUUGAAUUCGGGAGAGGGAUGCAGAAUUCCAGGUGUAGCGGUGAAAUGCGCAGAUAUCAGGAGGCACACCGGUGGCGAAGGCGGGUCUCUGGGCCGAUACUGACGCUGAGGAGCGAAAGCGUGGGGAGCGAACAGG
rnacentral:rRNA from 1 species